rnacentral:rRNA from 1 species
UACGAACCGUGCAAACGUUGUUCGGAAUCACUGGGCUUAAAGGGCGCGUAGGCGGUCGACCAAGUCCGGGGUGAAAUCUUUCGGCUUAACCGGAAAAGUGCCUUGGAUACUGGUCGGCUGGAGGGAGGUAGGGGCAGGUGGAACUUCCAGUGGAGCGGUGAAAUGCGUUGAUAUUGGAAGGAACGCCGGUGGCGAAAGCGACCUGCUGGACCUUUUCUGACGCUGAGGCGCGAAAGCUAGGGGAGCAAA